CACUCAGGGGUUGCCCCAGUGGUAAGGGCGAAUGACUGACUCCCAUUGGUCAGGGGUUCGAUUCCCUACCGGGUGA